GGGCAGGGGCGGCGUGCCUAUACAUGACAGUGGACGCAUGAUUGAUACCGGAGCUUGCUCCACCAUUAAUCAUGAGUCGCGAACGGGUGAGUAACGCGUAGGUAACCUACCUCAUAGCGGGGGAUAACUAUUGGAAACGAUAGCUAAUACCGCAUAACAGUAUUUAUCGCAUGGUAAAUACUUGAAAGGAGCAAAUGCUUCACUAUGAGAUGGACCUGCGUUGUAUUAGCUAGUUGGUGGGGUAAUGGCUCACCAAGGCAUCGAUACAUAGCCGACCUGAGAGGGUGAUCGGCCACACUGGGACUGAGACACGGCCCAGACUCCUACGGGAGGCAGCAGUAGGGAAUCUUCGGCAAUGGGGGGAACCCUGACCGAGCAACGCCGCGUGAGUGAAGAAGGUUUUCGGAUCGUAAAGCUCUGUUGUAAGAGAAGAACGUGUGUGAGAGUGGAAAGUUCACACAGUGACGGUAACUUACCAGAAAGGGACGGCUAACUACGUGCCAGCAGCCGCGGUAAUACGUAGGUCCCGAGCGUUGUCCGGAUUUAUUGGGCGUAAAGCGAGCGCAGGCGGUUUGAUAAGUCUGAAGUAAAAGGCUGUGGCUUAACCAUAGUAUGCUUUGGAAACUGUCAAACUUGAGUGCAGAAGGGGAGAGUGGAAUUCCAUGUGUAGCGGUGAAAUGCGUAGAUAUAUGGAGGAACACCGGUGGCGAAAGCGGCUCUCUGGUCUGUAACUGACGCUGAGGCUCGAAAGCGUGGGGAGCAAACAGGAUUAGAUACCCUGGUAGUCCACGCCGUAAACGAUGAGUGCUAGGUGUUGGGUCCUUUCCGGGACUCAGUGCCGUAGCUAACGCAUUAAGCACUCCGCCUGGGGAGUACGACCGCAAGGUUGAAACUCAAAGGAAUUGACGGGGGCCCGCACAAGCGGUGGAGCAUGUGGUUUAAUUCGAAGCAACGCGAAGAACCUUACCAGGUCUUGACAUCCCAGUGACCGUCCUAGAAGAUAGGAUUUUUCUUCGGAACACUGGAGACAGGUGGUGCAUGGUUGUCGUCAGCUCCUGUCCUGAGAUGUUUGGGUUAAGUCCCCCCACCAACCCCACCCCCAAUUGUUAGUUGCCAUCAUUCAAUUUGGGCACUUUAACCGAGACUGCCCGGUAUAAACCCGAGGAAAGGGGGGGGAUGGAGGUCAAAAUCACAAUGCCCCCUUAUAACCUGGGGGUACACACCUGGCUCCAAUAGGCUGGGGCACACGAUUCCCAAAUCUUGUGGAGCACAAGCAAAAUCUCUUUAAACCCCCUCCCCUUUUUUGAUUUGUAAGUGGGCGACUCCCCUCCCUCUAGAAUGGGGAAAUCUUUUUAUAUUUCCGGGAAUAACAACCCCCGCCGGGAAAUAAUUUCCCCGGGCGCUUGUUCCACCCGCCGCCUCCCACCCCCCAAAGUUGUGUAACCCCCCAAACCCUGGGGAGGAACCUUUAGAAGACCCCCCCACGGGGGGAAAAAAAAUAUGGUGAAGUUCCAUGGGCUCAGGGGGGGGGGGGGGGGGGGGGGGCCGCGUCAAAGGGGGGGAAAAAAAAACGGAGACGAAGGGGGAAAGGAAGCAAAAAAGGGCAAAAAAAAAAAAAAAAAAAAAAAGGGGAGGACACAAAAUAAGG
rnacentral:rRNA from 1 species